rnacentral:rRNA from 1 species
UACGGGGGGGGGCAAGCGUUGUUCGGAAUUACUGGGCGUAAAGGGCGCGUAGGCGGUUCGCUAAGUUGGAUGUGAAAACUCUGGGCUUAACCCAGAGCCUGCAUCCAAAACUGGCGAACUGGAGUACUGGAGGGGAAAGCGGAAUUCCUGGUGUAGCGGUGAAAUGCGUAGAUAUCAGGAGGAACACCGGUGGCGAAGGCGGCUUUCUGGGCAGUAACUGACGCUGAGGCGCGAAAGCUAGGGGAGCAAACAGG